rnacentral:rRNA from 1 species
GAUGAACGCUAGCGGCAGGCCUAAUACAUGCAAGUCGAACGGUGUCUUCGGACAUAGUGGCGCACGGGUGCGUAACACGUAUGCAACCUACCUUACAUUGGGGGAUAGCCUUCCGAAAGGGAGAUUAAUACCGCAUAAGACAGUAGCUGGGCAUCCAGCAGCUGUUAAAGAUUUAUCGAUGUAAGCUGGGCAUGCGUCCAAUUAGCUAGUUGGUGAGGUAACGGCUCACCAAGGCAAUGAUUGGUAGGGGAACUGAGAGGUCAAUCCCCCACACUGGCACUGAGAUACGGGCCAGACUCCUACGGGAGGCAGCAGUAGGGAAUAUUGGGCAAUGGACGCAAGUCUGACCCAGCCAUGCCGCGUGCAGGAUGAAGGCGUUAUGCGUUGUGAACUGCUUUUAUACAGGAAGAAACGACUCUUGCGAGAGGCAUUGACGGUACUGUAUGAAUAAGUACCGGCUAACUCCGUGCCAGCAGCCGCCGUAAAAC